AUUGAACGCUGGCGGCAGGCCUAACACAUGCAAGUCGAGCGGAGCGGCGGACGGGGGAGUAAUGCCUAGGAAUCUGCCUGGUCGUGGGGGAUGACGUCCGGAAACGGGCGCUAAUACCGCAUACUAGCAGAUGAGCCUAGGUCGGAUUUGCUAGUUGGGGGGGUAAAGGCCUACCAAGGCGACGAUCCGUAACUGGUCUGAGAGGGUGAUCAGCCACACUGGAACUGAGACACGGUCCAGACUCCUACGGGAGGCAGCAGUGGGGAAUAUUGGACAAUGGGCGAAAGCCUGAUCCAGCCAUGCCGCGUGUGGGAAGAAGGUCUUCGGAUUGUAAAGCACUUUAAGUUGGGAGGCGUUACCAACAGAAUAAGCACCGGCUAACUUCGUGCCAGCAGCCGCGGUAAUUC
rnacentral:rRNA from 1 species